UUAAAUAACAAAAACGAAUCGUAUUAACAUCAAUAAGUAGUCUUAGCAUUACUUUCAGCAGUAUCCUCCAGGUGAGUCUCUGGAAAGAUGUCUUCAACAUCACUAUAAUUUUCAUCUUCUUCUGUUUCUAAUACAUACAUAAAAAGACUGUCACAAAUCUCUAAAAUUACAUUACACAUGUACAUGUACUGUCAUGUCAAUUUAUACAACUAAUUACCUGCAAUUGCUCUCAGCUCUGUCAACUUCCCCUUCUCCAGAGCCAAGAGGAGCUUCAAAAAUUUUGGAGCCUUGAAUUGUGGCAUCAGGUAGCCUGUAAUAUUCUCUAUGCAGUGCAAUGUCAUGACCCAGGAAGUCUGCCAGCUGGUCGAUUUCAUGAUUUUUUAGAUUUAAAAUCUGUGGUGUAGUGGCCACUUGUUUUCGUAGUUGUGUUGAUGCAGAUAUUCUGGCUGUUUCGCUCCACAUUCUUCUGUAAACGUUUUAAGUCAUGUCCUCUGAAAUAACUUAGGCAUUUUGGAAUUGCAAACAGAUACUGAUUGUCCUGUGGCACAUUGCACUGCCUGCGAUUACGGAUGAGGAGGUCGAUGUUCCUCAUCGUCUCUGGGGUGAGAAGGACCUUUUUUACCUCUUACUUCAACUCUUGUGAAGUGCUUGCAGAGUUUUUUCACACAUAAAAAAGCCCCCAGCUCUGUGCAUAUGUGUCAUCUCUUUCAAUAAUUUUUUAAGGCAUCUUUGACACAUCCCCAAAACGUCUUCUGUUGAAAAGGAUGACCUCAGUUAAUGUGGACUUGGUAAGUGUGGAACAACUCAGCUCGGUGCCUCGUUGCUUUGUGCCAUUUAAGCAGAUUGUGAAAUGUGCUGGAGAUGGGUGUUUGGUAUUUUAUUGCCUGUGCAUGCUCUCCUUCUACAUAUGAUACGGCUGUGGUUAUAGAGGGCGUGAUGUAAACAUAGGAAAACUAUUUGUCCUCCUGCUGGACUCGGGGAUGGAGCUGAAGGAUGAAAAGUAAGCAGUUUUUUUAAUGGUAUGGUAAUUUAAGCUGAUUUAAUAUUGUGUUGUGAGAAUUGUAUUUGCUUUUUUAUGUAAUCGUUUUUUUUUCAAUAUUAUUUGUAUUUUGAUAUUUAAUAAAGUUAUAUUGAUUUGAA